ensembl:lncRNA
AGACUUGAAACUGAAGAACCUGGCGAUCUGGAAAUGCCAAUGGUGCAGACGAAAAAGCGCCAACAGAAUACUGCUCUCUCUAGCUGAAGGGCCAGGAAAGUGCCUUAUCCGUGCUCUCUGCUGUGCCUGGACUCCUCAAGUCUGGCCCUCUCUGGUUCAAUUGCUCCAGAGAAUAAACCUCCUGAGCACUCCUGUCAGGGAAGAUUUAAAGAAUUCCGAAACAAGGGCUGUCUCUUCUCUAGUUGGCCCGAAGUGGAAGUGACCAUCUUUUCCAGGGGGAACGCGGCUGCUUGGUAUACCCAGGGUUUACAUUUUAUGACUUCAAGCAUUAGGGACCAGCUCUCCAUCUUCCUUCCUAUCUAAGACCCAAAUUCCAGGAUGGGACUCAUUCGCCCCAACUGAGUGAGGUGCCCAGCUUGGACCACAGCUGGAAGGCAUUUAUAAAUCUCAGUUCCCUCAUUUUACAGAAGAGGAAUCUAAGAGGAUGAAUAACUUGACCAAGGUCACAUGAUGAGGAAACUGAGAGAUGCCAAGGUUAAGUGAAUUGCUUAAGAUCACAUGGUUGGCCAAUGGCAGAGCUGAGAUUGAAAGCUUCUGGGUCUGGACUCAUAAUCACUGCAUCACGCUGCUUCAGUGGAAGAAAAAGUUCUGUAUACAAAGCUGCUUGUAGCAUCAUCGUUUAUAAUUGGAGAACACAGAAGCUUGGAGAAGUUGCGUAACGGGCCCCAGGUCACACAAUUAAAAUGGAAGGGCCAAGACGUAUACCCAGAUCUGUCUGAAUCCAGAGAUCAAGCUGUUCAUCAUACUGAUGGGAAGUCAUCUGCUGUGUUGUGAGCAACCCUAUGGAGAGGCCCAUGCGGCGAGGUGCUGAGACAUCCUUGUAACCGCCAGUGAGAAACCGAGGCCUCUUGUCAACAGCCAUGUGAGUGAGCCUCCUUGGGAGCAGAUUGAGCCCCAUUCACGCCUUCAGAGAACUGCAGCCUAGGAGACAUCUUGACUGCAACCUCAACUUCAAAUACUGACCAGAAUCACCUGCAUAAGCUGCUCCCAGAUUCCUGACCCUCAAAACAAUGUGAAAUACUAAAUAUUCUUGUUUUCAAGCUGCCAAGUUUGAGAUACUUUGUUACAGGACAAUAGAUAACUGAGACAAACCUCAACAUCCUAAAUGGACUGGAUCUCCUUUCAAAGAGUACAAAGUAUAAAAUCUUUUAUAGGGCGAGGAUCUGAGAAUAAUGAUCCUAUUGGUAGGAGUUAAACUACUAGAGGAACUCAUCAAAAAUUUGUUCUAUUCCUCUGAUGACAUAGUAAAUAAUACAGACCAAACUAUAGGUUACAACAAACCAGUUUCAAUUCCUUAAAUCAAGUAGUCAGAGAUAAUAAAAUGGCCUUGGAUUUCUUCUUGCCAACCAGAGAAGAUUCUGGACCACUGCUCACACUAUAUACUGUACCUAAACACCACAAAUGAAUUGGAGUAAUCUACACCUAAGCUAGAAUAAAAGACAACAUAGGAUCUAAAAUAGACUCGGAGAAUCUUGGAGACUUGUUUUCAUGACUCGAUCUGGGAAUUUGGGAUCAUGGUUCUGAAAUGUCUUCCAGUCCUGUCCGUUUACACUCGUCUCACUGUUGCUAAAGGUGUAUUUUCCAGAGUCUUAAAUGCUUUUGUGCAGCCACUGUCCUGACAGAGGAUUCAACAAAUGAUUCAAAGACAAUAAAAAAUGGAAUAAAAUCAUGCCAGCAGACGUGUACACUGAAAAUAAAAUCUCCAUUGAUGAAACCUCACCUUCAAGGAAAAUCAACAGCAUAGUAAGGAUCUUCACAAUCCUCGAAGGUCUCUCCUGCAGCUUAGAUUGAAUGAGGAUCAAAAGGAGGGACUGAAAAUAACGAAGUUCCCAUAGACUUAGGAAAAGACUGAUUUUUGCUGUAGCAAAGGUAACAAGUAGCCACAAGACCCAGUUUUAAACCCGUUUGGUUGAUCAGGAAUAAGUUUCGUCAGUAAGCCCCUCACGAAAGUCAGCCUCUCAGGGCAGACUCAGUCCAAGAAGCACACCUCUGCGAGCCAGCUGAUGAACACAGUCUCACCUGAGCAGCCGUGGAUGGACCACAGAUGAUGUCAACCCACUGACACCCCUGGCAGUCUGGCAUUUCCCGGCACUCCAUGCUCCCUCCAAAUGAAGACUCUCUGUAAGGGCUACAGUUUGCUCUACUUGGAGAGACUGUGCCUGACCAGCACGGCCCCCUUUGCUGUAGUAAACAAUACAUUGAGCUUUGCCUUUUUAUGUCACGUGUUGAGUGGUGGUUUCAUCAUCCUUUGGCAAAAUCUCCUGAUUCUUUUAACAUUUUUUUAACCUCUUCCAUU